AUGAAGAGUUUGAUCCUGGCUCAGGAUGAACGCUAGCGGCAGGCCUAAUACAUGCAAGUCGAGGGGCAGCACGAUCUUCGGAUUGGUGGCGACCGGCGCACGGGUGCGUAACGCGUAUGCAACUUACCCAUUACUGGGGGAUAGCCCGGGGAAACUCGGAUUAAUAUUCCAUAGUAUCACAGAUAGGCAUCUUGAAGUGAUUAAAGAUUUAUCGGUAUUGGAUGAGUAUGCGUCUGAUUAGUUAGUUGGUGAGGUAACGGCUCACCAAGACAGCGAUCAGUAGGGGUUCUGAGAGGAUGAUCCCCCACACUGGCACUGAGAUACGGACCAGACUCCUACGGGAGGCAGCAGUAGGGAAUAUUGGUCAAUGGGCGAGAGCCUGAACCAGCCAUGCCGCGUGCAGGAUGACGGCCUUCUGGGUUGUAAACUGCUUUUAUAUGGGAAGAAAAAGGUCUUGCGAGACAAAUUGCCGGUACCAUAUGAAUAAGCACCGGCUAACUCCGUGCCAGCAGCCGCGGUAAUGCGGA
rnacentral:rRNA from 1 species